GUAAAUAGCCUGAAUCAUUGUUAAAAAGUACGGCUAAGUAUUGUAAAUUAUUACAAACGAUAGUUAAACAUUGUGAAGGGUCUGCCUGACAUGGCCAACGUUUUAUGUUCAAAUAAGUGGCACAGCAGAAACAAUGGAAGAGGCAGAGGAAAAAUUAAUAAGAUUAAAAAGAACCCCGAUUCUUCUCUACCAAUAAUGAGUAAUCUGCUAAAGCAAAAGUGGCUGCUGUUGAAAAAACUUUCAAAUUAAAAGCUUUAGCAUAGGAUUGAUUAAAAAUAGAUAAUAUAUUUAGCCAAAUAGCUUUAGAGUUAACUAACGAACCCACUGAAAUUGCAGAACCUAAGAAAUAAAAGCCAAAAAAAUGUAACCAAAAAAUAGUGAAGAAACAAGCCUAAAAACAUAGUCUUGAAUGGUCAUCUACAUCAAUAGCGUCUUUGAUAUCUUCAUCACCACCGUCAUCAUUAUGUAAACCUAUAGAAAUAAAUAAUGAAACUAAAUAAAACGAAUUAAUGACAGUACUAACUAUAUUGUUGACUCAAAAAAAAAGGAAAAAAUUAGUUCAUAAUCUACACCAUACCACCUUGAUCAUCUUCAUCAUCACCAUCAACUAAAAGUAGAAAAAUAAGAAAAAUCCACU